rnacentral:rRNA from 1 species
AACUUUCAACAACGGAUCUCUUGGGCCUGGCAUCGAUGAAGAACGCAGCGAAAUGCGAUAAGUAAUGUGAAUUGCAGAAUUCAGUGAAUCAUACAAUCUUUGAACGCACAUUGCGCCCAUUAGAAUUCUAGUGGGCAUGCCUGAUCCGAGCGUCA